GCUAUUUUGGCAGAUAAUUGUGAUGGUUUUAGAAAUCAGUUAUAUAUAAGUUUAUAUUAUAUAGAUAGUA
rnacentral:tRNA from 1 species